rnacentral:rRNA from 1 species
UACGGGGGGGGGCAAGCGUUGUUCGGAAUUACUGGGCGUAAAGGGCUCGUAGGUGGCCAACUAAGUCAGACGUGAAAUCCCUCAGCUUAACUGGGGAACUGCGUCUGAUACUGGAUGGCUUGAGUUUGGGAGAGGGAUGCGGAAUUCCAGGUGUAGCGGUGAAAUGCGUAGAUAUCUGGAGGAACAUCGGUGGCGAAGGCGGCAUCCUGGACCGGUAUUGACGCUGAGGCGCGAAAGCCAGGGGAGCAAACGGG